CUUCACCUCCCAUUGUCUCUGUCUCUCUCUUUCUCCUCUGCUUCCCCUCACCCCACAACCAAAGUCAAGAGCGCAGACCCCAUGAUCACCUGAUACUUCCAAGCAAGCAGGUGUUCUUUUCAGAAGCCAGAAGCUGAUAACCUGGGCUUUCUGAUCUAACCCCAGCCCAAAUUCAUUGCAAUGGAGGAAUUGGGGAGGAGAUUCUUCCUACUGAGAAGUGGGUGCCAACUCUCCCUUUCAAAUUUGUUCAUCAACAAACUAAAGGGGAUGCCAGAAAUGUCUGGAGCAAUGGAAGAACCACUGGAAUAAUGCUCCUGCCUGAUUGUAUCUACUUAACCCACUCUCCAAGAGCCAGAAUCAGAUUUCAACCGUAUGGAAUCAUCUACAAUGCAGCAGAUGGGUUUACAAGUCUCUUGGUCUCUUCAUGUAAUUAACAGCCAAGAAGUCUAAAGCUUGCAUUGUUUACGUGGAAGAUGUUUCUUGCCCAUUCCCAUGCCAUGCCAUCUGAAAUCGCUCCUUUUUUUAUUUUUUCUGUGCAGUUUUUUUAACUUUGUGGGAUCCUCUGCAUAUAAAACUCCAUUCAAC
rnacentral:lncRNA from 1 species